rnacentral:lncRNA from 1 species
CUCCACUAGUCAGGGAAAUGAGGUGGAACCAGCAAAGAAGACAGAAACAACAGCCACAGAGCUAAAAAGGAGAAGCAAGUGAGUCUCCAAAACUAAGUGAAAAAGAUGUGUUUUGAAGAAAAGGGAGUGAGCAACUGUGUUGAGUGCUGAAGACAGGUCAAGUAUAAAGAGGGCUGAGAUUGGACCACUGGAUUUGGCAGCAUGGAGGUACCUGAUGCCACCAAUUCCUGAGUUUUUCUGCUGUUCAGUGGAGUGGACUAUCGCCUUCAAAUUAGCCUGGCCCUGGGCAGGAAGAGAGAGUACCUGGAUCACCAUGGCAAAAUCGGAGAAGGCGUCACAGAAGAGGAAGAUACGAAAUGAAGACCCUGAAUCAGCCCAUCAGAAGCAGGAGAUCCCUUUCGUCGACCUUCUCAUUCCAUCUCUAUGCUGGAGCAUUCUUGUGACCUAACCAUAUUGAAACUGCCUUUGCAAAAUAUGACUGAGACAGUGAAAGAGGUAUAACUUCACCAAUUCCAUCUUGGUUCUAACCUCCAAGCUCUCCUUGAUCAUUCCUAGGCAUAGGCUGAACUAACUUUGGGAGAAACUUAGUUUAUAGUUUACAAUUUAAAACAGACAUGGUAACAGCCCUUUCCUAAAGCAGGCCUCCUUCUUGCCUGGGAACUAGAUUGCCUCCGUAGGACUAACAUUAGCCACAAGAUUAGAAAUUAUGGUUUAGGAGUCACGCAACUGGAGGCUAUAAGAUUCUGACCCUCCCUAAACUGCUCCUAAGAUCAGUGCUUGAGAUAUUUUGCAGACCCUGCACUUGAUGGAUCAGCUGGCACUACCCAGAUCAAUAAACUGGCUCAUCUGAUCCUGGGUGGCCCACCCAGGAACUGACUCAGUUCAGGAAGACAGCUUCAACUCCCUGUGAUUUCAUCCCUAACCAAUCAGUACUCCCGGCUCCCCCCAUCCACCAAGUUGUCCUUAAAAACUGCUCCAGAGUCUCGGGGAGACUGAUUUGAGUAACAAUAAAACACCAGUCUCCCGCACAGCGAGCUCUGUGUCAAUUACUCUUUCUCUAUUGCAAUUCCCCUGUCUUGAGAAAUCAGCUCUGUCUAGGCAGUGGGCAAGGUAAACCCCUUGGGUGGUUCCAAAUUGUUUACCUUCCAGUCUUCUAGGAUGACCUACCAUACACAUCCUCAAGAGUCUCUUGAGUAGCACCCAUUUCCUUCUCUAGCUUCCCUUCCCUUUGCUUCUUGGGUUUGGGGCUGGUGGCUGGAAGGAAUUAGGAGGCUAUAGCCUGUUUUAGGGUAGAGUGCAGUAGAGUAGUGGUUAUGAGGGUGGCCUCUGCAGUCUCACUGCCUGUAUUACAAUCCUUGUUUCCUCCACUUAACAGCAGUGUUGCCUUGAGCAAAUAUCUAAAUUCCCAAAGCCUAUAAAAUGAGGAUCACAAACCCUUAACAUAGCCAGGUUGACAGUGGCACAAACCUGACUUCUGCUAAAAUAACAACUAAUAAUCCCAAAUUGGGUACCCCACUUACACUUGUCAGUAAAGACAACUGACAGCCCUAAUCCUGAGUGGGCAUUCCACCUGAGUGGGAAGACAACACUUCUAAGCAGCCCAGCACUUAUAUAAUAUCUAAUCAAUAAAGCCAGAUAUUGCCAGCCAAUAAGAGACACUCUAAGACUUGGUUUUUUAAUAUAGAAGAGAGCUAGUUUGUGGUUUUAGCUUUAGAAGAUGUGGUAGCCAACCCCAAGGUGGCCCCCCAAUGAUCUACACCUCCAGGUAUUCAUGCCCUUGGGUAGUUCUCUCCUACAUUGUGUCAGAGUUGGUCUAUGUGAUGGAUAGAAUAUGGCAGAAAUGAUGAAAUGUCAAUUACAAGGUUAAGUUACAAAAGACAUUGUGGCUUCUGCCUUGCUUUCUCUUGUACUGCACUUUCUCAGGGACGCCCAUUGCCAUGGCUUGAGGCCUAGAGAAGAGGCCCAUGAGGCAAGGAACUGAAGUCUUCUUCAGUCUUCCUACAUCCAGCAAGGAACUCAGGUCUUUUCAAUGAGUGCAGUCAGCUACCACUCUUGCCAAGAGCCAUGAGUGUCUGUCAUCUUAGAAGCCAAUCCUCCAUCCCAAUCAAGCCUUCAGAUGACUGCAGGCUUGGCCAACAUCUUGUCUACAACUUCACGAGACACUGUAAGCCAGGAACGUUCAGCUAAGCUGCUCCUAGAUUUCUUACCCUUGGAAACUGUGAGAUAAUAAAUGUUUGUUGUUUUAAGCUGCUAAACUUGAGGUAACUUUUGGGAGUACCCAGCAAUACACAACUAACAUAAAACACUUUAUCUGUCUUUUUUUUUUUUUUUUUUUUUGAGACGGUGUUUCGCUCUGUCCCCCAGGCUAGAGUGCAGUGGUGUGAUCUCAGCUCACUGCAAUCUGCACCUCCCAGGUUCAAGUGAUUCUCCUGCCUCAGCCUCCCAAGUAGCUGGGAUUACAGGCAUGCGCCACCAUGCCUGGUUAAUUUUUGUAUUUUUAGUAGAGAUGGGGUUUCACCAUGUUGGCCAGGCUGGUCUUGAACUCCUGACAUCAAGUGAUCCACCUGCCUUGGCCUCCCAAAGUGCUGGGAUUACAGUCCUGAGCCACCACGCCCAGCCCACUUUCUCUCUUGAACCCCAGCCCCUAGGGCCAAAACUCCACUGUAUGCCUGGUCAACAGUAAAAUAAAUUUCCACUCAGAUCUCACACUGUGGCAAUAAUAUGCCUAUUUCAUCAAGUUGGGAGGAUUAAGCAGAUAGUGCAUGUGAAGUGUUUAGUACGAGCCCAGUACAUGGUAAGCACUCAACUAAUGCUAUUUACCACUAUUAUACAGAGACAUAGGCCUGUGGGUGGUUUCUCUGGCUCUUGGUGUCCAAGAGGCUUAAGGCACAGCAUAAUUAAUGAGGACUUAGAGCUCAGGGGACAGGGAAGGAAAUCCGAAUGGAUCUUCCCCACUCCUAGUAGCUCAGAGGGAGCAAGCCUCCAGCUGCUACAGCCAGGACUCCCUUCUAUGCGGGCAGAAGGAACAGGUCAGAGAAGAAACAUCCCCUUUUCUUGGUCCCUCAAUUGACAAAGCAGUAUGUAAAAUGAUAGAAAAAAUGUACCAAGUGAGGAAAGGGAAAGAAACAGGAAGUUAAGGUAGGAAAGUUAUCUUCAUCUGCUUCUUGAUUUUGCCCUGGAACUACCUCGUUUAUUUUCAGCUUUCCCUGGGCCAAGCAGAAUCUGUGCACAACCAUGCAUUCUAGAGCUUAGGACAAAGCACAAGUCUACUGUCUAGCAUCUGCCUGUGGCCUAGGCCAUCUCCGGUAUGUAUGGGCUGUAAGAAAAGUGGUAGGCUCUGGGGGUGCAAGUCAGGAGGUUUAUUACUGGAUCAUUUAUUGUCAGGGGAACCAUGCCAGAAGGGAAAGGUAGUUGCUUGGAAUACAAAGAACAAAGUGCAGACUCUGAUCUGAAAGUCUGUCAAUCCAUGUGCCAAACUAAAGUAAUUAGGCAGGAAAUAAACUGAAGAACAAUUGAGAGCCAAGAGUGGUCAGAGACAGACUAAAGUAAAAUGGGUCACUUGGAGCAAUCAUGGAAUUAAUUUGGUGAAUGUUGUUUAUAUGCUGAAGCCAUUAUUGUUAAAUACACUAAAUGUAAGCCUCACAAUUUUCAUCUUUUUGAUCACAGUUAUAUUCCUAGUACCUAGAUCAGAGCCUGGCGAUAGUAGGUGCUUCAUAAAUAUUUGUUAAGUGAACGAAUGAAUGAAUGAAUGAAUGAAUGCAAAUGUGAUUCAACACAGCUCGAGAAGUUGGGGUAAAUUUAGAAAGACCUAUUAUUUAAGUAUACACACAGAUUUAUUUUAAUUUAUACAGUUAUGAUUCACACUUUUUUUAGGGACAAUCUCCCAUAUAACUCUGUAGCCAAUGUGCAUUAUGCAUUCUGCUUGGAGACUUGGUCAGGUUUCAAGUUCUUCCUGACUAAAAACUUUGAGUUCCACUCACCAGUUAGACAAAUUAGAGUGUUCUAGCUUUGUGGGCUAUGGAAAUAGAAGGGAGAAACAAGCUGGCUGUUACAAAUAUGUCAUAUGAGGAAAUUAUAGUUUGAAUUCACUGGUCAGUACCAACAUAUUAACAGAAUUAAUUGUCCUUCAAGGGUUGUAAGCUGCCAUAUCUUUAAGGGGUAGAAAUACUCAACUAGCUGUCUAACAUAUGGGCCCCCAAAUGAUCUACUCUUAGAGAAACUCAUUUGAUGAGACCAACUGUUUCUCAGCCUAAGACUCUCCAGGAUCACUGCAUUUCUGUUGUUCCAUUUGUAUGAAUAAACAAGAAACCUAAGAAAUGUCUAUAUUUUCUCUGCUCUUCCCAGGCUGGACUAGAGAUGUGAACUCUACUUGUUUGACAAGAAUCCUUUACUCUCUACCUUUAGGACUUUCAAUCAUUUCAGAAAUCUCUUGCUCAGUAAACAAAUCUCUCUUUACAAGGAGAUAAUGCAGCACAAAGUUCAGCUCAGAGUCUAUGCAGGAAAGACUGCAGUUACCCAUCGAUUGUCCACAGUCGACUUGGUUUGAGCUUCCGCAGAGCUCAACUUGGGAACAGUACUGUCACCUGGAGCCAUUCUGUGCUGAAUGACAGCCAUCUGCUUUCCAUGUGCCCUUUCUAUUUGGACAAAUAAAAAUAAUCACCCCACAUGACAAUCCAUAAAUUCAUAGUUCUUCAAAGACACUUAGCCCCACUUCUGAGUAGUAAGACCUCUGAC